AAAACCAGAGAUUCAAACUGCAAGGCAGGAAGCACUAUAGCAGGAACUCUGUCCUUUUGGAGAGUCCCUGUUUCCCCCUUGUAUUCCUUUUCACCCAAUAAAACCCUGCUUUACUCAUCCUUCAAACUGUCUGCAAGCCUAAACUUUCAUGGCUGUGGAACAAGGACCCCGUCUUUAGCUGAACUAAGGAAAAGUUCUGUAACAUUUUUGGCACCCAACAUGAGGCUCAAGAAGUGGCCAUCAAACUCCAAUGGUCAUGCAACUGGAGACUCUGACAAUGGCCUCUCCUGCUGGGAACCCUUAGACAGACCUCUGAGGGAGCUCUGGCUGCCGUUUCUCCAAAACACGUCUACUGUCAGCAAGAAGCAGUUGAGAUCAGUCUUCAUCCUUAUCCUUAUUCUAGUGGCCAAUUAGAUGUACUUCGUUAGAGUGGGGAAUGAGACAGCCACGUGGGAGGGAUCCCUGGCAAAACUCCAACUGACUUCCACACUGGGAAGAGUAUGCACACUGGGGUGGAACCGUAGAAGUUCCUGCCGAUUGCAGCAGAAAGGAGCUGCAAUCAUGUGUGGGGCGUGGGAUUCCAACUGCGAGGCAGGAAGCACUCUAGCAGGGACUCUGUCCUUUUGUAGAGUCCCUGUUUCCCCCUGUUCUUCCUUUUCACCCAGUGAAACCCUGCUUUUCAAGCUCUUCACACCACCUGCGAGCCUAAACUUUCGUGGCUGUGGGACAAGGAGCCCAUCUUUAGCUAAACUCAGGAAAAGCCCUGCAACAUUAAGAGGUGGAAGUGGUCCUGUGAAAGCAGAAGUGGACCAGUCAAGAGCAAAGAUCGAGGCAAGUUUUUUGAGGGAUUUUUUGAGGGUUGCUCAAGACAUUUUGCUUGUCAACUUUCUGAAGGACCAAGAAUGAUAACAUCUGCUUAUUGUGAGAGUGUUUUGAGAAAGCCAAACCUUUAGCAGAAAAAUUGGGAAAGCUUCACUAGCGAGUUUUUUGCUUGUUUGUUUGGUUUUUUUUGAGAUCGAGUCUCACUCUGUCACCCAGGCUGGAGUAUAAUCACCCCAUUUCCGCUCACUGCAACCCCUGCAUCCCAGGUUCAAGCCAUUCUCCUGCCUCACCCUCCUGAUUAGCUGGGAUUACAGACGUGUGCCACCAUGCCUGGCUAGUUUUUGUCUUUUUGUAGAGACGAGUUUCACCAUGUUGGCCAGGCUGGUCUGGAACUCCUGACUUCAGGUGAUUCACCCACCUCGGCCUCCCAAAGUGCUGAGAUUACAGGCAUGAGCCACUGUGUCUGGCCAAGAGAGUCCUUUACCACAACAAUGCUCCUGCUCAUUCCUCUCAUCAAACAAAGGCAAUUUUAAGAGCAUUUUGAUGGGAAAUUGUUACGCAUUUAUCUUACAGUUGUGAUGUGGCUCCUUGUGACUUCUUUUUGUUUCCUAAUCUUAAAAUAGCCUGUAAGUGGCAUCAAUUUUACUUCAGUUAAAAAUUUAAAAGGACUGCAUUGACAUGGUGAAAUUCCCAGGACCCUCAGUUCCUUAGGUAAGGACUACAUGGCUGGCAUCAUCACUUACAAAUUCACACAUGUCUUGAACUUGAUGAAGCUUAUGUUGAGAAGUAAAGCUUAUAUUUUUAUGUUUUAAUUCAAUUUUUCCACAAACUUUUUGAAGUCCUCUUGUAUUUCUAGCGUGUCCCCUUUUCCUUCUCACAUCUUUCUCUCCCAUAUUAUAGCAACUUUGAGCUUCCUAUCAUCUCUGAAUUAAGAGUUCUUAUUAGGGAGCUAUGCUACUUCUGUUAUUUGGAGGACCUUUCCUUAAUCCCUCUUUGCUUAGAAAACUCUUACUCAUCCAUUCAUAUAGCUUUACUGUGAAAACUUUUAUGAUUCUCCAGUAUGGGGAAUUAGAGAACACUGUGCACUUUGCUUCCCUACAAUGCUUUCUUCAAAACAUCAUAAUUGGUCUUUUCCUGGUUUUAUAUUAUGUAUUACCUGCCACUUUGCUUGUCUCAUUUGCCAUCUUAUAAAUGCCCUUAAGACAGGACUCACAUCUUUUUUUUUUUUUUUUUGAGAAGGACUCACAUGUUAAUUACAUUUUCUAGCAUACUCUUCAGCACACACUAGCAACACAAUGCAUGCUUGAUGACUGAAUUAUAAUCAUUGAUUACUUCACCCCAUAAAAUAACAGAUGAAGAAAUAUAGAAAGACAGCUGUACACAUAUAGAGCAAUCAAAUCAAUUAUAUAUUUAUUCAUUAGAAGAUUCUGUUGUUAACUAUUAAUAAUCAUUUUCACCAGUCAAUUGGAAAGUCUGUGUCAGCAGAACUAACAGAAAUGUUACUUUUUAAUUCUCAGCUAUCUUCCUCCUAGUCAAUUUAGUCAUUUAGCAAAUGUCAAGACCUUUUUUUAAAUAUUCACCAUUUUUAGGGUUAAGCAAUUUGGCAUCUAUGCAGUCCUUUUUCCCAUAACCUUGUUACCAAGUGAUAAAUUACAAUGAGAGAGAGCCCUCAAUCUAAUUCUGCCAUACCAAAAAUGUGUUACUAUAAUAUGUUAAUAAGUGGGCACAAACACAGUCAGACACUGAAGUAUAGGGAAAUUCCAUUCUGUGCCUCAGGCAUUCCAACUAAUCCCUUGCACAGAAAGUGCAGGAAGGUAGGCAUGACUACUGUCUAGUGGCCAGAGAGGCCAUACUUAUAAAUGAAUCUGACGAUUGGACCUCCAUCGAUUGGAGGGAUGCAGGGACUCUGAAUGUAGAAGGCUACAAACGAUGGUCUUAAAACCUCCAUGCUUGCUGGACUUUUAUUUCAUUCCAUGGGUGAAAAGUAAUCAUGCCUGACAGUGUUAAUUUCCGCUGAAAGCAAACUUUAUGCUAUUUAACACUCCUACUCUCUGGAGUUUCUGAUUGGGCUUCUUCAAAUAUUAACUGACAUUUGCAGCCAAACACCACACCAUUUAUCCAGAAGUAUUAUUAAAAUAAACUAUUUCACAAACAAAAUAAGGACAGUUUUUAUUAUCACUAUUUUAACCCUGUGUUAUUCUCCUAUCCAUCUGCACCUCACUUUAAUUCAUGAACAAAAAGAAUCUUUGGUAUCAAGGAUAAUAUUAAAAUUAGAAAGAAAGCCACUUGGUCUUUGUCCUUAUGUUGUUUACAGAAUGCUCCGCGUUGGGGUACUAUUUUGAAAACCUGGCAUUUUUUGAUUACAUGUAAUCUGACUUGUUGAGGAUCUAGAGUGCAGAAAUAUUUUAUGUGUGUAAAUGGUGAAAGGAAGAGGUUUUUGUUUCCUUGGCAAUUCAUCCCCAUUAUCAGUCUACCUAAAAAUUGUCUCCCGCCAUUACAUAGAAGCACUUUGUACUUUGUAAAAUAAACUAUUGCAGAUGUUAUUAAAAUAAACUGUUAUGCAGACCAUAUGAGGAUAUUAUUUGCUGCAUUAUCAAGUUCUCAACUUGGAAUUAGUGACUGAAAUCAUCAAAGUGGUUUAUUCCAUCUCUUUCUGGCAUUGCUAUUAUUAUUAUUUGCAUUUAUUGGUCAUUUAUAUAAAUAUUAUGAAAACAGAAUAUGUUUAUUUGAAAAACAAAGUAUUUAUUCUCCAUUUAUUUGGUAAAUAUUUAUAAACAGAGGAUAUGUUAAAAGAACAUCCAACAAGUUAAAUGCUUUUUAAAAGAGAAAACAUUUUCUACUUCAGAUUUGCUGGAGAAAAUGAAAUACUGUGUUUUAAACUCAUCAGUAUUUUUGAGCAUAGAAAUCACUCUAUAAAUCUCUCUUUGAAAAAGGAAAAUAUAAAAUCAGAAAUGUUAGUCAGCUUUAAAGCAAAUAAACAGAUUUAAUGAAGAGGAAAUUUUGAAACAAAUCUCACAAACUUAAAAUAUCUUUGUUUAUUCAGAUGCGUUGCACAUAACUUCUGUUAACAAAACAAACAGAUUAAAUGUCCACGUUGCUAGGCAAAGUAUGUCUGUUAAAUAAAGGUAUUGAAGUAAUCUGUUAAAUGUUAAGUUUAACUCUGAAAGAUUAAAUAGUAGGUUGCUUAGGUCGGAAAUUCAAUAAAAAAUUCUCUAAGCA